AACGAACGCUGGCGGCAUGCCUAACACAUGCAAGUCGAACGAGACCUUCGGGUCUAGUGGCGCACGGGGGCGUAACGCGUGGGAACCUGCCCUUAGGUUCGGAAUACCUCCCCGAAAGGGGUGCUAAUACCGGAUAAUGUCUUCGGACCAAAGAUUUAUCGCCUUUGGAUGGGCCCGCGUUGGAUUAGCUAGUUGGUAGGGUAAAAGCCUACCAAGGCGACGAUCCAUAGCUGGUCUGAGAGGAUGAUCAGCCACACUGGGACUGAGACACGGCCCAGACUCCUACGGGAGGCAGCAGUGGGGAAUAUUGGACAAUGGGGGAAAGCCUGAUCCAGCAAUGCCGCGUGAGUGAUGAAGGCCUUAGGGUUGUAAAGCUCUUUUACCCGGGAUGAUAAUGACAGUACCGGGAGAAUAAGCUCCGGCUAACUCCGUG
rnacentral:rRNA from 1 species